GACGAACGCUGGCGGCGUGCUUAACACAUGCAAGUCGAACGAAACAGCCCUGCCUUUGUGGCGUGCUCGAGUGCCGAACGGGUAGGUAACCCGAGAGAAACCUGCCUUUGACUUUGGGUUAACUUCAGGAACCUGGGCCAAUUACCGGAUAGGCGCUCCUGCUGCAUGGUGGGGGUUGGAAAGUUUCGGCGGUUGGGGAUGGACUCGCCGCUUGUUUGCUUGGUGGUGGGGUAGUGGCCUACCAAGGCCUGGACUGGUAGCCGGCCUGAGAAGGUGACAGGCCACAUUGGGACCGGGAUACGGCCCGAACCCGUACGGAGGAAAACAGUGGGGAAUAUUGCACAAUGGGCGGAAACCGGAGGCAGCAACGCCGCGUGCGGGUUGACGGCCUCCGGUUUGUAGACCGCAUUCGCCUGUGACGAAGCGUGAGUGACGGUAAUGGGUAAAGAAGCACCGGCUAACUACGUG
rnacentral:rRNA from 1 species